AGCCGCGUAAAUACGGAGGAUNCGAGCGUAUCNCGGAUUUAUGGGUUAAAGGGGAGCGUAGGUGGACAGUUAAGUCAGUUGUGAAAGUUNGCGGCUCAACCGUAAAAUUGCAGUUGAUACUGGCUGUCUUGAGUACAGUAGAGGUGGGCGGAAUUCGUGGUGUAGCGGUGAAAUGCUUAGAUAUCACGAAGAACUCCGAUUGCGAAGGCAGCUCACUGGACUGCAACUGACACUGAUGCUCGAAAGUGUGGGUAUCAAACAGGAUUAGAUACCCUGGUAGUCCACACAGUAAACGAUGAAUACUCGCUGUUUGCGAUAUACAGUAAGCGGCCAAGCGAAAGCAUUAAGUAUUCCACCUGGGGAGUACGCCGGCAACGGUGAAACUCAAAGGAAUUGACGGGGGCCCGCACAAGCGGAGGAACAUGUGGUUUAAUUCGAUGAUACGCGAGGAACCUUACCCGGGCUUAAAUUGCAUUUGAAUAUAUUGGAAACAGUAUAGCCGUAAGGCAAAUGUGAAGGUGCUGCAUGGUUGUCGUCAGCUCGUGCCGUGAGGUGUCGGCUUAAGUGCCAUAACGAGCGCAACCCUUAUCUUUAGUUACUAACAGGUCAUGCUGAGGACUCUAGAGAGACUGCCGUCGUAAGAUGUGAGGAAGGUGGGGAUGACGUCAAAUCAGCACGGCCCUUACGUCCGGGGCUACACACGUGUUACAAUGGGGGGUACAGAAGGCAGCUACCUGGUGACAGGAUGCUAAUCCCAAAAGCCUCUCUCAGUUCGGAUCGAAGUCUGCAACCCGACUUCGUGAAGCUGGAUUCGCUAGUAAUCGCGCAUCAGCCAUGGCGCGGUGAAUACGUUCCCGGGCCUUGUACACACCGCCCGUCAAGCCAUGAAAGCCGGGGGUACCUGAAGUACGUAACCGCAAGGAGGUCCUAGGGUAAA
rnacentral:rRNA from 1 species